rnacentral:lncRNA from 1 species
UCUGCUUCCAUGAGGGUUCAUGAGGACCCAUGGAAAGUGAUAUUGGAACUAUCUGGGGAGAGGUAGAAAAAAAAGAAGGGGGAAAAAGAGAAAAAAAAACCCCUCAGUGGUAAGUGAUCCACACAUUCUCAGUGAGAGCCGAGUCCCUGCUGCGAAGCUGCAAGAAGUCAGAAAAUGGGGACUGGAGAUGUAGCUCAGCUGGUAGAGUGCUUGCCCAGUAUCUACCUCAGGACUUUAUUGCUGUGAUGAAACACCAUGACCAAAGCAACUGGGGAAGGAAAGUGUUUAUUUGGCUUAUACAGGUACAUCACCAUUCACCAUCAAAGGAAAUCAGGAUAGGAACUCAAAUAGGGCAGGAACCUGGAGGCAGGAGCUGAUACAGAGACCAUGGAAGAGUGCAGUUUACUGGCUUGCUCUUUCUUGUAGAACCCUAGAAUACAAUGGCUGGAUCCUCCCCCAUCAAUCACUAAUUAAGAAAAUGCCCUAUAUGCUUGCCUACAGCUGGAACUUAUAAAGACAUUUUUUUUUAAUUGUGGCCUCCUCCUCUCAGAUGAUUUUUAGCUUCAGUCAAGUUGACAGAAAACUAUCCAGCACACCUAGAAUCCACUAAGCUCGGGAUUGGACGCCAUGUUUUGAUGGAGCUUGUUUUAAUAUGGAAGAGGGAGACUAUAGAGCCCGUGUGUCUAAUGGGGAUCCAGAUUCCCUCCGUUUAUGAGAGUGGUUUCUCAAAACUGGAGCUUCUGGGGCCUGGACAGAUAGUUCAGUUGGUUAAGAGCAUCCGCAUCCGCAGAGGACCUGGGUUCAGUUCUCAGAUUCCACGUGGAGGAAUCACCUGACCUAUGUAAGUUCAGUUCCAGGGAAUCUGACUCCCUCUGGCCUCCUCAGGCACCAGGCAUGC